GCUUCUCCCCAGGGAGAAAGAAAGUGGCGCUGGAGAGAGUGGCUGGCCGGCCGGCUUGGUGCUUGCUUCCCCUGCUCUUUGGACUUCAUGGUUCGGAUUUGGAGGUGGUUGUUUGUGGGCCAGUGCGCGUCUUCCGCCCCCUCUCCUCCCAAACACCCCCGAACUCGGUCCUUUGGUGGUGGUGGGGAGGCCGAGUGUUGUUUGGCCCCCUUUGGGUUGCUUUGUGUGGAUCCUCCCGGAAAGGGGGUGGCCUUCUGGAGUCGGGCGGGGAGGGGCCGCCGGGAAAGCGGUGGAGGUGGGAGAUGCGCCACUCGGGCGCCUUUGCAUCUGGGAAAGGGAAGGGGGGGGGGCAAGGAGAACUCGCCUGCAGUUGCCUGGUUGAGGGACACACAGCAGAGCCCGAAGACCGGGAGGAAGCGGGGAGUCUCCAGCAGGGCUUCAUGACAUCAUGAUGGAAAAGGGUGUAGUCCUUAAGGUGCAGUUGGUGGAGGUGCGAGAUGGUGUGUUGCUUGGGGAGAAGGUCUACCCCGCAGCCUUGUCCUCCCGCAUUCUCUGGAAAGCAUUCCCAGCUCCAUUGCAAUGGGGGGAAAGUCGUUGGGAACAACAACACAGAACCCUGAAACCCUCCUCCAGUCUAGGGGCCCUUCUUGUCUCAUACCCGAAUAGCAGAGCAAAAACAUCCUCUGGAAAGCAUUUCCAGUACCAUUGCAAUGGGAGGAAAGUCGUUGGGAACAACAACACACAACCCUGAAACCCUCCUCCAGUCUACGGGCCCUUCCUGUCCCAUAUUCCACAGAAAAUUCCACAAUAUCUGCUUUGAACUGGGUUAACUGAGUCGUGGGAUUUUCUGCCUUGAUAUUCUGGGAUAUAGGGCUGUGUGGAAGGGCCUUAGAGGUUGGACUUGCCUUCACCUCUCUCUCCUUCCUGUAAAUGUAAGGUGGUCCCUUUUCUGCAAAGGCCUGCAAGUGUUUUGUUGUGGUUUGAGAGGAACAAUGAAAUAAUCAAAGGGGAAAACGUAGCGCAGGGCAUGAGCUGGGAGCAGGUGCUUUUGCCCCGCCUGACAUAAUGAGAUCCCCUUCCUCGCCUUCAAGGUUUGGAGUCGCUGGUUGUCUGCGUUGGUAGAUUCACUUCAAGGACAGGAGAGCUGUCAUUGCAAAGAGAGAGGAGCAUUGCAAACAUUUCAGAUCUCUGCUCCGCAGGUUUUUAUUUUUACAGAUAUUCCACCUCCCUUUUGGUCUUUAGGUGUAAGCGAUUCUUGCCUAGCCACCAGGUUUCAAUAGACAAACCUGGAAAUGGAUUUGAAAUGGGGCUGAACAUUAAGAGAGAAGGGAGCUGGGGCUUGGAUGCACACCAAAGGCAUCUUCUUCGAGGCUUCUGGGUGUGAAAGUGUUGAUCAUUAUGGUGGGACAAUAAAAGAUGGUGCAUUGUGUUCUGCUUUUGCUUUUUUUAAAGGCAGCCUAGCUUUGCCCAUCUGUUGUCUAAAGGAUUUAAUAGGCGUUUCCAUCUCCAGCUGCUGCCUCUGUUCUGCCUGUUUUCUUGCUGCCUUGCAUGGCAGCAGCUCUGCAGUCCCUGCAAUUUUCUUAGGGACGGAGGAGAAAUCCAGAUCUUUCUCUGAAAGGGGCCAAGCUUUUCCUGCAAUGAUUGAUUGCAAAGCCCCGCUCCUUCAGCCUCCCCCUCAAGCCCCAUAGCAACCGCUUGUAGAUUGGAAUGGUUAUGAGGAUGGCAUCGCUUGGAAAUGGAAAGCGACUUCUGUUUGUUUUCUCGUCCUAUUCCAUGUACUGCAGUGAUUUAAUGGAUCUGCUCACCUUUAUUUUUCACAACGCGAAGUUUAAUAAUAAUAAAAAAGAUUUUUCUUCACCUCCCCCCAAGGUAAUUCACUGUGAAAUACAUCUUGAUAUGAUAUAAACAAGGAGCCACAGAAAAAUAAAAGUCAUACCAAAACGAUUGCAGUGUCAUAGGGAGCCAAUGAAAAUGCAGUAUCCGCUAACCAGAGGUAAUCCCUUGCCAUAUUGGCUGCUGACUAUAGAAGAGGCCUUAUCCUCAUCAUGGUUUUUGCUUUGUAAUAUCAGAAGUUUCCCCUCUCAGCCCAAUUGUGUAUGUUGCUACAAAUGGAGCACCAUUAAGUUAUAUUUCAGACACUCCUGCGUGAGCUUUCUCAGAGGCAGAUCCUACUGAGUUCAACAGGACUUACAGCUAAGUAAGUGAGCAGAGAACUGCAGCCUUUGGGUCCAAACCACAUGGUGUGGUAUUAUGCUCCAUCAGGGUGAGCUGUAAUUUCCUCCUCCCCCUUCCUUUGCUAAUCUUCCUAUCUUCCUCCUAAGUGAUUAGAGAAGGAGGGAGGGUAUGUGUGUGUGUGUGUGCGCGCUUGUAUGUAUUUAGAGGUUUCCUGCUGCCUGAUUUUGGAGCUCUUUGACAAACUGAACUGCAGCAAAGAUUCCUCUUAGUGAUUUUAGUUCUAACUCUAGCUGGGCACCUGUUUCUGGCCAUGUGCACAUAUGUAUGUACACACAAUGUAGCGUGAUAAAGAGGCAGUAGUGAAAAGCUUUAAAAGGUCUCUCAUCUUUCGACAACAACCUUCUUGACACCUACUUGGGUACAAGUUCUACUAAACCAAGCGAGACUAUUCUAAAGAAAACAUGCACAAAAGCGGGUAUGUGUGUCAUCUGUAACCAGAUUAAAAAAGAAUCAGUCACAAUACUGGACUGGGCAGUCUGUGUCCAUUAACUCAGUGUUUCUUAAAGAGAAAGAAAUGCUAUGCUUUCGGUGUGGGAGAAUUAGAAUAUUCAGAUGCUGGAGAUGGUACAGCCUUGUUAUGCUGAAGUGGCAGGUAAUUCAAUAAAGUUGCCCAGACAUUCUGCAACUACAAUAGCGCUAUAAUGAAGAAGAUCAUAGAAUUAAGUGAGGGCAAGGUGGGAAAUGGAAAGUGCUUGUUGCUUUUUUGAAAGGUAAUUUGUUCAAAUGUAAUAUAUCCUCUUAUCGGCAGGGAAUGUGAUGUUCACAACUAUUCUUAUCCUCUUCUUAAGCAGAAGAAACCUAUUUUUGUCAGGGAGCUCACUAUUACUCUCAAUUGUUUAAAUUGGGAUUGCACACCUGUUUUGCUCAACAACAGUACUUUGGUUCUUCAGGUGUUUUGGACUUCAACUCCCAGAAUCCCCAGCCAGCUGAUCCAGUAGUCAGGCAUUUUGGGAGAUGAAGCCCAAAACACCCGAGGACCAAAGUUAGGGUACCACUCCUUUACAAUAUAUGCUGUAUUUUUCAGGAUCAAAAAGCAAAGGAAAUUGGGGAUCAGUUUCUGGCUCAUGUUAACAGUCACAGCCUUGCAAGGAAAAGAGCUCUCAGGUGUCACCCGAACUUUUGACUAGCUGCCCUCAGUCUCCCCGAGGGCUUAAAAUGCUGGUGUUCCUAAUGAGUAUAAAUCAAGAAAUGUUUGCAGACAAGACCCCUCUGGCUUCUGCAAAGCAGCCCAGAUGCCGUGUCUGUGCUAUCAGUGGAAGCUGGUGACAUCUGGUCCUGGAUAUGUAAAACUGACCUGGCAAAACAUACUCAGGAUGCAUUUCAAAGGCCUGGGUGAUGACUGUGCUGAUUCUCAUUCAAAGCAGGGGAAGCAAAGCUUGUCCUGAGGAGCCUCUAGAGCUGGCACAUCAGGCUUGCAGAAAAUGAUUGAUGUCACAAAGGGAGGAUUAUGGCCUCCUGCUUUCAAAAGCAAGAGGGGGGAACUGAGCAAAAGGCUGCAAAACAUUUGCAUGCAGCCUUUCCAUAAUAUGGGCAGUGUGGCAAGAGCCGGGGGAAGAAAUUCUUAAUAAUGCAGUAAGAUGCAAACUGUGGUGCUGGGGACAAUCAGUUCCUUGGCUACAAAACCAAGGGGACAAUUUUCCAGGGCCCUAAAUAUGAAAUGAGCCACAUCAGCAUGGAUGGACAAUAUCUUUGGAGAAAAGAAGAAAGGGAACCCAUUCAGCCCCCUGGCUUGUCAAAGUGUGUAAAUGUCCUGUUUUGUCCCAUUAGAAUUAUUCUGCAGGGAUGCAUCUUAUCUCUGUUAGUGAACAUCUACACAAAACUAUUCAAAGCAGUUUUGAAAUGCAGGGUGCAUCAAUAUGGCAAGGAAACCCGAAUAUUGCUCAGAUUGCUUUCAGAUAAUAAAGUCUCAAAGCAAAUGUAAUAA